AUGGACGACAAAAGCGGCAGCCCCCUGGCUACAGGAAUCCUCCUCUGCACGCACCUGCCACCUGCCACCUGUUCCCAGGGCACCUUCACAGGGUCGGUGGCUUCUGAGAUUCUGAGAGGUAAAGCAACUUGCUCCAGGCCAAGUGGCCAGGUCUCAACCCAGGACUUGAUCCCAGAAUGGGGCCUCCCCCCAAAACACACGUGGAGUCUGAGACCUCGACUCAGGUCCAGAAGCUUUAAAAUCGGGGUACUUCCUCCCUUUGCUCCUGUCUGGCCCCUCAGCCAUGCCCUGCAGGGGUUGAUCCACUGGGAGCCCACACCUGCUGACACCCAGGAGGAAGCCUUCACCACCCAGCCGGCUCCCAGCUGCCUCCCUGCAAGGCUUCCCAGGCUGGGAGGGGUGCCUGCGGGGCAGGAGUCAGAGGAGCCAGGAAAGCUUCCAGACCUUCUGCAGAGUGAGGAAGCCGCCGGGUGGUUUGAGUCAGAGCUGCUGAUCCCCGGGCCAGGCCCCCACACAGGGAGCUGUUCCCAGCAGCCCAGGUGCUGCAUACGUGGGGGGCUCCCCUACCCCUUCGGUGAGCUUUGCCCCCUGGAGCUUCUUACAGACCACCCUUUCAGCAGCAAAGCCACCUUCCCCUUCUUGCACUGGGUUGGGACCCCCUGCCUGGUCAGGGUCUCCUUAGCCAGAAGGAGGUAUCCCCAAAUAGCAGCUCGGGGUGGCCUGGGGCCCUGGCCUCCAAGGUCAGCACCGCCGCUGAGGACCCUGGAGAGGCUCUGCUCUCUGCCCUGGUCGCAUGCGUCCCUGGAGGCAGGCCAGCUGGGCUUCGCUGGGAGGAAGACAGGGCGGCCCCCGACACUGGUGAGGGUGUCUGCUCCCUGGGCCCCCCGCACCCCCCCACUCUCAGAUGACACGCGCAUUAACAACACUCCGGCUGGCAAGAGCAGAUGGAGUCGGGCAGGCGCAUGGUCAGGACGCUGGAUUUCAGCCCCGUGGCUCUCCUACACCGAGAAGACGCAGCAGGCAGAAGGGGGGGGGGGACGUGUGGGAUGA
rnacentral:lncRNA from 1 species